rnacentral:lncRNA from 1 species
CAACUACACAGAGUUCUCUAGCUCUGUGCAGAGCAGGGGAAUCAUAGCUCAAGGCUGUGAAACACCAAGCAGCACUGGAGCAGACCCUAAUGCAAUGAUGGGGACUGUGCUGUUGCAUGAGAGGGAGGAGCAACGUGGCUCUAAACUCACUUCAAAUGCCUGCAGUUAGGACCAUAGGCCCUACCCUGCAUUACCAAGGAAGUGAAGAGGAGAAAAUAGAAUGUGGCAAACCAGGAAGAAGGAGCCAUUGGGAAAUACUAAGAGGAAUGUCCUGUAGAAAAUCUCCAUGGGAGAAGGUCCUAUUUAAGUUCUGUUGAUGGUAAAAUACUAUCAUCUGAAGAUCUUUCAUCUCAAGUAAGCAGUUCUAUCAUCUUUGAAGAUUCAUGAAUCCUGAACUAAUAAUCCAUAACCUUAACUGCAGGGCAUGAAGAUAGCUGACCCACUUGCAAAGCAGAUUGCUCUCCACUGAAGGGAGGUUGGUAUUGGUACUGUAAUUGCAUCCAAACAUCCAUGGAUCACCUAGUUCAUGUCCUCCUCCCCACAU